rnacentral:rRNA from 1 species
AAAGAAAGUAAGCAAGGGCGCAUGGCGGAUGCCUUGGCUCUCGGAGGCGAUGAAGGACGUGAUAAGCUGCGAUAAGCUUCGGGAAGGUGCAAAUAACCUUUGAUCCGAAGAUUUCCGAAUGGGACAACCCGUCAUUCUGAAGGAAUGACAUCUUGCAUAGCAAGAGGCUAACGCAGGGAACUGAAACAUCUUAGUACCUGCAGGAAAAGAAAAUAAUAAUGAUUCCCCAAGUAGUGGCGAGCGAACGGGGAUUAGCCCAAACCAAUGUUGUUACGGCAAUAUUGGGGUUGUAGGACCACGAUGUCGCAAGAACUUUAGUGAGAAGAAUUCUUUGGAAAAUGAAACCAUAGACGGUGAUAGUCCGGUAUUCGAAGCUAAACGAAGCGUAGUGGUAUCCUGAGUAGCGCGGGACACGAGGAAUCUUGCGUGAAUCUGCCGGGACCAUCCGGUAAGGCUAAAUACUCCCGAGAGACCGAUAGCGAACCAGUACUGUGAAGGAAAGGUGAAAAGCACUUCGAAUAGAAGAGUGAAAUAGUCCCUGAAACCGUGCGCCUACAAGCGGUCGGAGCAGCGUAAGUUGUGACGGCGUGCCUUUUGCAUAAUGAACCUACGAGUUACUUUUUCCGGCAAGGUUAAGCAUUUUAAAAUGUGUAGCCGAAGCGAAAGCGAGUCUGAACAGGGCGAUUAGUCGGAAGGAGUAGACGCGAAACCAAGUGAUCUACCCUUGGUCAGGUUGAAGGUUAGGUAACACUAACUGGAGGACCGAACCGAUAAGCGUUGAAAAGCUUCCGGAUGAACUGAGGGUGGGGGUGAAAGGCUAAUCAAACUUGGAGAUAGCUCGUACUCCCCGAAAUGCAUUUAGGUGCAGCCUUGGGAAUUACUACUGUGAGGUAGAGCGACUGAUAAGAUGCGAGGGCUUCACCGCCUAUCAAGUCUUGAUAAACUCCGAAUGCGCAGUAGUUCGAUCCCAGGAGUGAGGGCAUGGGUGCUAAGGUCCAUGUCCUAAAGGAGAAGAAUCCGGACCAUCAGCUAAGGUCCCGAAAUAAUUGCUAAGUUGAACUAACGAAGUCAGAUUGCUAAGACAGCUAGGAUGUUGGCUUGGAAGCAGCCAUUCAUUUAAAGAGUGCGUAACAGCUCACUAGUCGAGGAGUUUGGCGUGGAUAAUAAUCGGGCAUUAAGCAAUUUACCGAAGCUAUGGGAUCAGNNNNNNNNNNNNNNNNNNNNNNNNNNNNNNNNNNNNNNNNNNNNNNNNNNNNNNNNNNNNNNNNNNNNNNNNNNNNNNNNNNNNNNNNNNNNNNNNUAAAUUGAAAGAUUACGUAUACAGCCUGACACCUGCCCGGUGCUGGAAGGUUAAGAGGAGAUGUCAUCGCAAGAGAAGCAUUGAAUUGAAGCCCCAGUAAACGGCGGCCGUAACUAUAACGGUCCUAAGGUAGCGAAAUUCCUUGUCGGGUAAGUUCCGACCUGCACGAAUGGUGUAAUGAUCUGGACACUGUCUCAACCGUGAGCUCAGUGAAAUUGUAGUAUCGGUGAAGAUGCCGAUUACCCGCGAUGGGACGAAAAGACCCCGUGAACCUUUACUAUAGCUUAACAUUGAAUUUGGGUAAUUGAUGUGUAGGAUAGGCCGGAGACUUCGAAGCAGGUACGCCAGUAUUUGUGGAGUCGCUGUUGAAAUACGGCCCUUUGAUUAUUUGAGUUCUAACUCGUAGUUGCGAGGACACUGUUUGGUGGGUAGUUUGACUGGGGUGGUCGCCUCCAAAAGUGUAACGGAGGCUUCUAAAGGUGCCCUCAGGACGAUUGGUAACCGUCCGUAGAGUGUAAUGGCAUAAGGGCGCUUGACUGGGAGACAGACAAGUCGAUCAGGUAGGAAACUAGAGCAUAGUGAUCCGGUGUUUCCGCAUGGAAGGGACAUCGCUCAAAGGAUAAAAGGUACUCCGGGGAUAACAGGCUGAUCCCUCCCAAGAGCUCAUAUCGACGGAGGGGUUUGGCACCUCGAUGUCGGCUCGUCACAUCCUGGGGCUGGAGAAGGUCCCAAGGGUUGGGCUGUUCGCCCAUUAAAGUGGCACGCGAGCUGGGUUCAGAACGUCGUGAGACAGUUCGGUCUCUAUCUAUCGUGGGCGUAUGAAAUUUGCGUGGCUCUGACACUAGUACGAGAGGACCGUGUUGGACUGACCGCUGGUUUACCAGUUGUGCCGCCAGGUGCAUCGCUGGGUAUCUAAGUCGGGAUUGGAUAAGUGCUGAAAGCAUCUAAGUACGAAGCCAGCCACAAGAUUAGAUUUCUUAGGGUCGUUAAAGACGAUGACGUUGAUAGGAUGCAGGUGUAAAGGUGGUAACAUCAAAGCCGAGCAUUACUAAUUGCCCGUUCACUUUCUUU